rnacentral:pre_miRNA from 1 species
CGUGUUCACAGCGCACCUUGAUUUCAUAUUAUACAAUUAAGGCACGCGGUGAAUGCCA